rnacentral:rRNA from 1 species
GACGAACGCUGGCGGCGUGCCUAAUACAUGCAAGUCGAACGCUUUUUCUUUCACCGGAGCUUGCUCCACCGAAAGAAAAAGAGUGGCGAACGGGUGAGUAACACGUGGGUACCCUGCCCAUCAGAAGGGGAUAACACUUGGAAACAGGUGCUAAUACCGUAUAACACUAUUUUCCGCAUGGAAGAAAGUUGAAAGGCGCUUUUGCGUCACUGAUGGAUGGACCCGCGGUGCAUUAGCUAGUUGGUGAGGUAACGGCUCACCAAGGCAACGAGGCAUAGCCGAACUGGGAGGGUGAUCGGCCACACUGGGACUGAGACACGGCCCAGACUCCUACGGGAGGCAGCAGUAGGGAAUCUUCGGCAAUGGACGAAAGUCUGACCGAGCAACGCCGCGUGAGUGAAGAAGGUUUUCGGAUCGUAAAACUCUGUUGUUAGAGAAGAACAAGGAUGAGAGUAAAACGUUCAUCCCUUGACGGUAUCUAACCAGAAAGCCACGGCUAACUACGUGCCAGCAGCCGCAGUAA